rnacentral:lncRNA from 1 species
UUAUCCUUUAUGACUUGAUUUAGUAUAUAAUUUACGUAUUGAGUAAUGUUACUCAUACAUAUUCAUGGGGGUUGAAAUUGAACUCUUGUUUUGAUUGGUUCUUGGUUAUUGGCGGUUAAAUUGAGUUUUCCUUUGUGUACCUUGGGUAGAAUUUACCUGGACACUGGUCAGUGAAAGACGUCCAUUAUUUACCCAGACUAUUAUAGCAGAAACCCAUAUUGACAGAUUGUAUAUUGACUAUAUUCAGCUUUACAGUUUUCCAGACAUGACUAGUAAGUUGCACUUUCUUCUUUAUUAACAUUUUGACACGAAUUAAUAGAUUUGGUUAACUUUCCUAUUUUCGAG